rnacentral:rRNA from 1 species
UACGGGAGGCAGCAGUGGGGAAUAUUGCACAAUGGGCGCAAGCCUGAUGCAGCCAUGCCGCGUGUAUGAAAAAGGCCUUCGGGUUGUAAAGUACUUUUCAGUCGUGAGGAAGGUGUUAAGGUUAAUAACCUUAGCAAUUGACGUUAGCGACAGAAGAAGCACCGGCUAACUCCGUGCCAGCAGCCGCGGUAAUACGGAGGGUGCGAGCGUUAAUCGGAAUUACUGGGCGUAAAGGGCACGCAGGCGGUUAAUUAAGUUGGAUGUGAAAUCCCCGGGCUUAACCUGGGAAUGGCAUUCAAGACUGGUUAGCUAGAGUCUUGUAGAGGGGGUAGAAGUUCCGAUGUGUAGCGGUGAAAUGCGUAGAGAUGUGGAGGAAUACCGGUGGCGAAGGCGGCCCCUGGACAAAGACUGACGCUCGAUGUGCGAAAGCGUGGGGAGCAAACAGGGAUUAGAUACCCGU